CCGGCACGGGUGAGUAACACGUAUCCAACCUGCCGUCUACUCUUGGACAGCCUUCUGAAAGGAAGAUUAAUACAAGAUGGCAUCAUGAAUCCGCAUGUUCACAUGAUUAAAGGUAUUCCGGUAGACGAUGGGGAUGCGUUCCAUUAGAUAGUAGGCGGGGUAACGGCCCACCUAGUCUUCGAUGGAUAGGGGUUCUGAGAGGAAGGUCCCCCACAUUGGAACUGAGACACGGUCCAA
rnacentral:rRNA from 1 species